AGUGAACGCUGGCGGUAGGCCUAACACAUGCAAGUCGAACGGCAGCACAGUAAGAGCUUGCUCUUACGGGUGGCGAGUGGCGGACGGGUGAGGAAUACAUCGGAAUCUACUUUUUCGUGGGGGAUAACGUAGGGAAACUUACGCUAAUACCGCAUACGACCUACGGGUGAAAGCAGGGGAUCUUCGGACCUUGCGCGAUUGAAUGAGCCGAUGUCGGAUUAGCUAGUUGGCGGGGUAAAGGCCCACCAAGGCGACGAUCCGUAGCUGGUCUGAGAGGAUGAUCAGCCACACUGGAACUGAGCCACGGUCCAGACUCCUACGGGAGGCAGCAGUGGGGAAUAUUGGACAAUGGGCGCAAGCCUGAUCCAGCCAUACCGCGUGGGUGAAGAAGGCCUUCGGGUUGUAUAGCCCUUUUGUUGUGAAAGAAAAGCAGCAGGUUAAUACCCCGCUGUUCUGACGGUACCCAAAGAAUAAGCACCGGCUAACUUCGUG
rnacentral:rRNA from 1 species